GAUGAACGCUAGCGGCAGGCCUAAUACAUGCAAGUCGGACGGGAUUCAGGAGCUUGCUUCUGAUGAGAGUGGCGCACGGGUGCGUAACACGUAUGUAACCUACCUUUAUCAGGGGGAUAGCCUCUCGAAAGAGAGAUUAAGCCCGCAUAAAAUCACAGCACAGCAUUGUGUAAUGAUCAAAUAUUUAUAGGAUAAAGAUGGGCAUGCGGAACAUUAGCUAGAUGGCGGGGUAACGGCCCACCAUGGCGACGAUGUUUAGGGGAUCUGAGAGGAUGGCCCCCCACACUGGUACUGAGACACGGACCAGACUCCUACGGGAGGCAGCAGUAAGGAAUAGUGGUCAAUGGGCGGAAGCCUGAACCAGCCAUGCCGCGUGCAGGAAGACGGCCCUACGGGUUGUAAACUGCUUUUAUACGGGAAUAAACCCAGAUACGUGUAUCUGGCUGAAUGUACUGUAAGAAUAAGGAUCGGCUAACUCCGUG
rnacentral:rRNA from 1 species